rnacentral:rRNA from 1 species
GGACAACCUGCCCUUAGGACGGGGAUAAACCCGGGAAACUGGGUAUAAUACCCGAUAGGUCUCGAUUGCUGGAAUGCAUCGAGAUUUAAAGCUCCGGCGCCUAAGGAUGGGUCUGCGGCCUAUCAGGUAGUAGUGGGUGUAGCGUACCUACUAGCCUACGACGGGUACGGGUUGUGAGAGCAAGAGCCCGGAGAUGGAUUCUGAGACACGAAUCCAGGCCCUACGGGGUGCAGCAGGCGCGAAAACUUUACAAUGCUGGCAACAGCGAUAAGGGAACCUCGAGUGCCAGGUUACAAAUCUGGCUGUCGAGAUGCCUAAAAAGCAUUUCAUAGCAAGGGCCGGGCAAGACCGGUGCCAGCCGCCGCGGUAACACCGGCGGCUCGAGUGGUAACCGUUAUUAUUGGGUCUAAAGGGUCUGUAGCCGGCCGGAUAAGUCUCUUGAGAAAUCUGGCAGCUUAACUGUCAGGCUUUCAGGAGAUACUGUCUGGCUCGAGGCCGGGAGAGGUGAGAGGUACUUCAGGGGUAGGGGUGAAAUCUUGUAAUCCUUGAAGGACCACCAGUGGCGAAGGCGUCUCACCAGAACGGACCUGACGGCAAGGGACGAAAGCUAGGGGCACGAACCGGAUUAGAUACCCGGGUAGUCCUAGCCGUAAACGAUACUCGCUAGGUGUCGGCCACGGUGCGACCGUUGUCGGUGCCGUAGGGAAGCCGUGAAGCGAGCCACCUGGGAAGUACGGCCGCAAGGCUGAAACU